AUUGAACGCUGGCGGCAGGCCCAACACAUGCGAGUCGAAUGGUAACAGGAAACAGCUUGCUGUUUCGCUGACGAGUGGCGGACGGGUGAGUAAUGUCUGGGAAACUGCCUGAUGGAGGGGGAUAACUACUGGAAACGGUAGCUAAUACCGCAUAACGUCGCAAGACCAAAGAGGGGGACCUUCGGGCCUCUUGCCAUCAGAUGUGCCCAGAUGGGAUUAGCUAGUAGGUGGGGUAACGGCUCACCUAGGCGACGAUCCCUAGCUGGUCUGAGAGGAUGACCAGCCACACUGGAACUGAGACACGGUCCAGACUCCUACGGGAGGCAGCAGUGGGGAAUAUUGCACAAUGGGCGCAAGCCUGAUGCAGCCAUGCCGCGUGUAUGAAGAAGGCCUUCGGGUUGUAAAGUACUUUCAGCGGGGAGGAAGGGAGUAAAGUUAAUACCUUUGCUCAUUGACGUUACCCGCAGAAGAAGCACCGGCUAACUCCGUG
rnacentral:rRNA from 1 species